UUGUUCUAAGCCAGCCUGGAGAAAUGCUGUCACACGGUGCUUCCUUAGCUCCUUUGAUGACAGCCAUCCUUCUUCACCCAUCUCAAGCCUGCUGUAUCAAGGUGUGCUGUUGAGCUGAGUCAGACUUUACUACAACUCUUCCCCAGAGCUUGCCAGUGUCACCUACCUCUUCCGGGAUUAUUGCAACAGCUUCCCCAAAAGGAGACGGAUUGAGAGACUGAAUAACCUUCUGGAAGUUUUAGGAACACACUGUAGCACAGCAGACGCAAGAGAGACAGACCCUGCUUCCAAGUUCUCCUGACCUCCACAACACGCUGUGGCAAGCACAGGUACACACAAUAACAAUAAUGAUUUUUUAAGAGACAUAUCUGGGUGGCAGAGCAACUUCAAAACCAAC
rnacentral:lncRNA from 1 species